AAAGCUGUCUGAGCAUCGGGUUCCGAAUCAGCCCGUAUCUGUGGUCUCUGCCACAGCCAGAUCUCCAGGCCAGCAUCAUGUCCAGGCAAGAUCAACCUGAGGACUGAUGAGGAAACAGCGACCAGAGGGACUGGUACCACUUUCAGGAUUUUGGAGCUGAGCACGCACAGGCUGACACGGCUCACUCACGACACAUGUGACCCGGGUCACGGUCAAAACGUCACUGAACUCUCCCAAGGAACACACGAUGUAACUGUUGGC